rnacentral:rRNA from 1 species
CCUACGUGUGGCAGCAGUGAGGAAUAUUGGUCAAUGGGCGUAAGCCUGAACCAGCCAAGUCGCGUGAGGGAUGAAGGUUCUAUGGAUCGUAAACCUCUUUUAUAAGGGAAUAAAUUGCGGGACGUGUCCCGUUUUGUAUGUACAUUAUGAAUAAGGAUCGGCUAACUCCGUGCCAGCAGCCGUCGUAAUACGGAGGAUCCGAGCGUUAUCCGGAGUUAUUGGGUUUAAAGGGUGCGUAGGCGGCCUUUUGAGUCAGCGGUGAAAGUCUGUGGCUCAACCAUAGAAUUGCAGUUGACACUGGGAGGCUUGAGUAUGUGUGAGGCAGGCGGAAUGCGUGGUGUAGCGGUGAAAUGCUUAGAUAUCACGAAGAACUCCGAUUGUGAAGGCAGCUUACUAAACUGCCACUGACAUUGAUGCUCGAAAGUGUGGGUAUCAAACAGGAUUAGAUACCCCUGUAGUC